AUGGUGGCCCUGAGGUGCAAAACACAAAGGCAAAUCAGAAAACACAACAAAAUUAAUCAUUGUGUUUUCUCUUUUUGUGUUGUGUUUUCUCUUUUGCCGUUGUGAUUUGCAUCUCAGGGCCACCGUA